UACGUAGGGGGCAAGCGUUGUCCGGAAUCAUUGGGCGUAAAGAGCGUGUAGGCGGCUCGAUAAGUCUGCUGUGAAAGUCCAGGGCUCAACCCUGGAAGGCCGGUGGAAACUGUCGGGCUAGAGUCCGGAAGAGGCGAGUGGAAUUCCCGGUGUAGCGGUGAAAUGCGCAGAUUAGGUCGGAGGAACACCAAUGGCGAAGGCAGCUCGCUGGGACGGUACUGACGCUGAGACGCGAAAGCGUGGGGAGCAAACAGG
rnacentral:rRNA from 1 species